rnacentral:rRNA from 1 species
UACGGGGGGGGCAAGCGUUGUUCGGAAUUACUGGGCGUAAAGGGCUCGUAGGCGGCCAACUAAGUCGGAUGUGAAAUCCCCAGGCUUAACCUGGGAAUUGCAUCCGAUACUGGAUGGCUUGAAUCCGGGAGAGGGAUGCGGAAUUCCAGGUGUAGCGGUGAAAUGCGUAGAUAUCUGGAGGAACACCGGUGGCGAAGGCGGCAUCCUGGACCGGUAUUGACGCUGAGGCGCGAAAGCUAGGGGAGCAAACGGG